rnacentral:lncRNA from 1 species
GGCCUAUGGAGCAGAUAGGAAGGAACUCAGAGCUACACUACCCUGAGGGCUGUGUUUGCAUUUUUUGAUCACCUUUUCAUACGCACACGAGAUAAAGCUAUAAGUACAACAAAUAAUUGUGAUGGUAAAAUGAUUGGGCUUCAUCAAGCAUAGUGACUGAAAUGGUUUGUCUUAAAUGUAGGAAUUUCCUUCCUUGUCAAUGUUUCCUUUCUCUAACUGUAAACACUAUUCUCGUGUAUUUCCCGUUUUCCUCUAUUCUUCCAUCUUAGAUUGUAAUAAAUUCGGGUGUAGCACAACUACACAGUGUUUUUUCAACUUGAGUUGUUUUUACAUUCAAAUCACCAUUUUACGUCAUUACUUGAGUUGAGGGUUUUGCAAAACAGUCUCUCAACCUCCUUGAGGUAGGGAUGAGGUCGGGGUACACUCUAACUUUCUCUUGCUACACUUGUGAGAUUAUACUAGGUAUGUUGUUAUCACCAUUUUACCUCGUUUAUUCAUUAGAUCAUCUUAACAGUGUAAAUAGACGUUAACCUAUCUUGGUCCCCUCAGUAGUCACUACACCCUAGCAGGGUCCUAUCAACUUUUAUAAAUAAGAAAGCACAACCAGUUGUAUUAGUAAAGUCUCAAGUUAGAGUAAUCUUCUCUCCAAAAUUCUCUCUGAAGAGAACAGAAAUGAAACAGAUCCAACUAAGCAGCAUAUAGAAAACGGUAGUACCCGAGCUCAAGCAUGUAAAGCUUGAUGUAUAAGCAGAAUAUCAACAUUUUGUAUAAGCAGAAUAUCAACAUGAGUAGGCUAUAUGUCGAAAUCAUAUAUCUAAAGAUUAGCAUGUUUAUUAAUCACAAUAGAUAAACAAGAGUCAUCGAGCAAGUUGAACGAGCCUUCCCCCAUCACAGAACUAUCGAAAUACAAACUUUCAACAUAUAUUCAAAAGAAAUUAGUAAAUCAAAUGAAAUCCAGAAUGUAAAAAGACCAAUAAAAUCACAAACCCCAGAAUUGAGAAGCAUAAAACAAGAAUCAAUAGCUUGACAUUACACAUAUAACCAAGUAAUGGUAGUAUUUUUUGGACAGCCAGAGCUAGGUGUUUAAACAGUGGUACUUCCAGCACUAUGUUGUUGACAUUGGUAGGAAAAAUAAGGUCCCGCUGAGAAGGAAACUACAACCUAGGUACCUCAAAAUAAUCACACAGUUCUACUUAAUAUUAUUUAUAGCAAGGAUCUACAGAUUGCUUACUAAUGUCAUCAUAAAUUUGUGUUUUCUCCUGCCAUAAGGAUAUUUCUUUUCUCUAUAUAUGAAUUUUAGCUAGUGACCCCGUUCAAUGACUUAUAAUUCUAUUUGGUUAAGAGAUGUGUGAGAAGUGUAUGAAAUAUUUCCCCAUAUAUACACUGAUACUUUUCUUAUGGCAACAUUGAAAGAGGGAGAAGCUGCUGCAAAAGCUAAGGAAUCUAAGAAGAGCAAUCAUGUAUUUCUAUUUGUCCAUCAAUAGAAAUUUAUACUAUGUAUUUAUCUAUGUAUUAUUGAUUCUUAUAUCUAUGUAUUUAUUUUCUCAUAAUUUAUGUCACAGAGUUGGACCGAUAAGCUUGAACCCCAAGAAAAGAGAGCAACAUUUAGAUAACAAGGAAAAAAUAUAAAAGGCGGGCGGAAAGAGAUAACGAGUAGAACUGGACACAAUUCAGACACAAACAAUUAGCACACAAAGGUAUGACUUGAUGAGACUCUAAUUUUACAAUCAGAGCGCGAGUAAAUGGAUAAGUCAAGCAAGCAGAUUUGGUACCUUCACCGUGUAUCCAUUCUCAAGAACCUUCAACUGAUCAAGAUCUUCUCCGAGUUACAGGGGUCUUGGUUCUGAUUCUGAUAUGUUUUCAGAAACUUAUAAUCAUAGCUCUAGAUAUGAAAUAAGUGAAAGACAAUUGCUCAGUCAUACAAUAUAUGAAUGGAAAAUUGUAUUGAAAAUAUUACACAAAUAUAUUUCUUUCUUCAGUGGCUUCUCCAUAUCUGAGAUUUAAGACUUGUGAGUAGCUGAAAGAUUUAGGCUAUUAUGUAUCUGAGAUGUGGAAAAAUAGGUGGAAUUCUUGUAACCUGUACCCAAAGAGAGCUCCAGGGAAUUCUUCUACCAAGAAUUUCAUCCCUGUAAGAAAAGCUACCGCCUAAAAUAGAAGCAAUCAUACAGUUAUACUAGUCUGGCAUACUAUUGAAAGAAAAAAAAAGAGCAAAAUGUCUAAACCUACUUUCCCAUUUACGGGGAGAUCACAACAUAAACUUUUGACUCUGACAUAGUUUAGUACAACUUCUCUGUAUCUCCACCAGUUGUUCCCACUACCAAAGGUACUCCAGCUUUGUUGUAUAAUUAAGCAUUAUCUGCAAAUUCAUGGUGGAAAUAAGAACAUUGCAAUGGCUCAUUCCACACCGUCUUCUACUCUCCACUAAAGACAUGCGUAAAAGAUAUCACAGGA